rnacentral:sRNA from 1 species
GGCUGCUACAUACAAUGUUAAUUAUGCCUGCCGUUCCGUUGUGUCACACACUUUUGUUUGUCAGCAAGUGUUGUUUUUGAUGCGAAGUGAUACACAGAAAUCUUCGGAAAUCGAUAGUUGGUGUUGCUCUCUAUAACAGCGAUAGAAUUGAGUGUGUGUGCUGAAACUUCGGAGUGGAUCAGGCAUUUCCCAUAGCCAUUCCUCAUUUAAAUCAUUGUGUUAAAAAAAUUCUAAUACUAUAUAGACAGUUCUAUUAACCAACAGUGCACGGAUGAAGAUUUUUUCCACCAGUUUAGAUUUAUAAUUAUAUUAGAUUAAUUAUUUUCUAUUCUUUUUGGCUCCAUAAAAAUGCAUGUAGGCCAAUAUUAUGAACAUAAUUAUGUAGGCGUGUUUCACACAUAGCAUGUAAUAUAAAUAUUUUUAAUGGUUUGAAAUCCAUUUUUUAUUCUUUUUUAGUUCAAUAAGCCAUCAUUUCUGUAUGUAAUUUUCACGGUUGGUUUUAGAGAAUACACGACAGUCAUGAAGUUCUAUAUAUACCCAUUCAAACCCGUCAGUGUGGUACAUAUGUUUUGGCCUCAUCAAAUAGAAAACAAUGCAUGACUGCAUAUAUUUUACAAUCUCUGAGCGUUCAAAAAUUCGAAAAAGAUGGUCAGUUUCUGGUUUGUUGGUUAACUUGGGACUGUUUCAAUAGUUGUCUAGCAAUAAAACUCCCCACGAUACAUUUAAUGCAGCACCGAGGGUGAUAAAGCAUGUAGGAUUAUCACAGACGUCAGACAUGGAUUAAACCGAUUUAUCCGGCUUUCUAUAGAGGAUUAUUGCCUUUGAAUGCCGAGUGUCGUAAGAAUGACGGAAUCCAGGCUGUCGCUAAGCUCACACAUGCACAAUUUUAGAGCUGUUCAUUGUUUGAUCUUGUCCUUUCAACCAUACUCUUCUCUCAGAGAGAGAGAGAGAGAGAGAGAGAGAGAGAGAGAGAGUGUCUGUGAUUGUAUUAUGACAGUGCAUGUUUUUCAUAACUAUUUAGAUAUUUAAUUAUUUCAAAUUAAUUUUUUUUAAAACUCUGACAUGUAAUAGUUGUUCAAAGGAAAGAUAACUCUCUUAAAAGUCUUACAC